AAGCGGCAACAGCUCAAAUUUGAAAUCUGGCCCUUACGGGUCCGAGUUGUAAUUUGUAGAGGAUGCUUUUGGCAAGGCGCCGCCCGAGUUCCCUGGAACGGGACGCCACAGAGGGUGAGAGCCCCGUCUGGCUGGCCGCCGAGCCUCUGUAAAGCUCCUUCGACGAGUCGAGUAGUUUGGGAAUGCUGCUCAAAAUGGGAGGUAUAUGUCUUCUAAAGCUAAAUAUUGGCCAGAGACCGAUAGCGCACAAGUAGAGUGAUCGAAAGAUGAAAAGCACCUUGAAAAGAGGGUUAAAUAGUACGUGAAAUUGUUGAAAGGGAAGCGCUUGUGACCAGACUUGGGCGCGGCGGAUCAUCCGGGGUUCUCCCCGGUGCACUUCGCCGCGUCCAGGCCAGCAUCAGUUCGUCGCGGGGGAAAAAGGCUUCGGGAACGUGGCUCCCUCGGGAGUGUUAUAGCCCGUUGCGUAAUACCCUGCGGUGGACUGAGGACCGCGCAUCUGCAAGGAUGCUGGCGUAAUGGUCACCAGCGACCCGUCUUGAAACACGGACCAAGGAGUCGUCUUCGUAUGCGAGUGUUCGGGUGUCAAACCCCUACGCGUAAUGAAAGUGAACGCAGGUGAGAGCUUCGGCGCAUCAUCGACCGAUCCUGAUGUUCUCGGAUGGAUUUGAGUAAGAGCAUACGGGGCCGGACCCGAAAGAAGGUGAACUAUGCCUGUAUAGGGUGAAGCCAGAGGAAACUCUGGUGGAGGCUCGCAGCGGUUCUGACGUGCAAAUCGAUCG
rnacentral:rRNA from 1 species